GUCGAGCGGAUGACGGGAGCUUGCUCCUUGAUUCAGCGGCGGACGGGUGAGUAAUGCCUAGGAAUCUGCCUGGUAGUGGGGGACAACGUUUCGAAAGGAACGCUAAUACCGCAUACGUCCUACGGGAGAAAGCAGGGGACCUUCGGGCCUUGCGCUAUCAGAUGAGCCUAGGUCGGAUUAGCUAGUUGGUGGGGUAAUGGCUCACCAAGGCGACGAUCCGUAACUGGUCUGAGAGGAUGAUCAGUCACACUGGAACUGAGACACGGUCCAGACUCCUACGGGAGGCAGCAGUGGGGAAUAUUGGACAAUGGGCGAAAGCCUGAUCCAGCCAUGCCGCGUGUGUGAAGAAGGUCUUCGGAUUGUAAAGCACUUUAAGUUGGGAGGAAGGGCAGUAAGUUAAUACCUUGCUGUUUUGACGUUACCGACAGAAUAAGCACCGGCUAACUCUGUGCCAGCAGCCGCGGUAAUACAGAGGGUGCAAGCGUUAAUCGGAAUUACUGGGCGUAAAGCGCGCGUAGGUGGUUUGUUAAGUUGGAUGUGAAAGCCCCGGGCUCAACCUGGGAACUGCAUCCAAAACUGGCAAGCUAGAGUACGGUAGAGGGUGGUGGAAUUUCCUGUGUAGCGGUGAAAUGCGUAGAUAUAGGAAGGAACACCAGUGGCGAAGGCGACCACCUGGACUGAUACUGACACUGAGGUGCGAAAGCGUGGGGGAGCAAACAGGAUUAGAUACCCUGGUAGUCCACGCCGUAAACGAUGUCAACUAAGCCGUUUGGAAUCCUUGAGAUUUUAGUGGCGCAGCUAACGC
rnacentral:rRNA from 1 species